AUAGGAUUGGCCAAAGAGUUCAUUUGGGUUUUUCUAGUGAGCUGUAAACAAAAAACCCGAACGAACUUUUGGCUGACUCAAU
ensembl:miRNA